GCUCCCAUAGCUCAACGGAUAGAGCAGACUCGUCCUAAGAGUAAGAUGAGGGUUCAAUUCCUUCUGGGAGCA
rnacentral:tRNA from 1 species